rnacentral:rRNA from 1 species
GACGAACCGUGCGAACGUUGUUCGGAUUCACUGGGCUUAAAGGGCGCGUAGGCGGCUUCUGCAGUCCGGGGUGAAAGCUUUCGGCUUAACCGGAAAAGUGCCUUGGAUACUGAGAAGCUCGAGGGAGGUAGGGGCAGGUGGAACUUCCGGUGGAGCGGUGAAAUGCGUUGAUAUCGGAAGGAACGCCGGUGGCGAAAGCGACCUGCUGGACCUCUACUGACGCUGAGGCGCGAAAGCCAGGGGAGCAAACGGGAUUAGAUACCCGUGUAGU